CCCAAAAUGACAAGGAGCCAGAGCCAGACGCGAAGUUGCACCAGCAGUUUGAAUCGUAUAAGGACCAGGUUAAGAAGAUGGGGGAGGAGACUAAGCCGGCUCAGGACCUGAAGAGCGAAGCCCCAACCUGCGGGAUAUGCCACAAAACCAAGUUUGCCGAUGGCUGUGGCCACCUCUGUUCAUAUUGCCAAACAAAAUUCUGUGCUCGGUGCGGAGGACGAGUGUCUCUGCGGUCAAAUAAGGAGGACAAAGUGGUUA